rnacentral:tRNA from 1 species
GGCGAGAUGGCCGAGCGGUCCAAGGCGCUGGUUUUAGGCACCAGUCUCUUUGGGGCGUGGGUUCGAAUCCCACUCCCGUCA